AUACAUAAAGUGGUCAGAGCUCUCUCUUUCUCAAUUAUACAUGAAAGGUUUGUCACAUCUCUUAGUGAGCUGUAUACAGUGCCUUUCUCUCUCUCUCUCUCUUUUUAUUUAAUUUUUUUUUUUUUGUUUAAAGCUCAGUUGGGAAAUCCUUUUACAAUGGCAAUGGUAGGACUGAAACAUGAGAUCAAAAUUCCGUAAGUUUUAUCGUCAAACACACUGUUCGUUUUGUACCCAUACUCGUUGCUUGUACUGCCUCUCUCUCUCUCUCUCACACAACUUCUGGUUAUGGAAUUGACAAAUGUGGGGUUUCUCUCUCUAGACUGCUAUGUAACUAGGGUUUGAUUUCUGUGUAUUUACCGUGAAGAUGGAAGUCAGACUAUUUUUUUACGGGGAGAACAGGAGUUUGGUAAAAAGAGUAGUCUGGAAAGGCAGGAGGAAGGAUGGAAAUAUUAUAAAGAAAAGAGGAAUAUGCAUUUAUGAUGGUGAAAAUCCAUUGGGAGCGAUGCAUGAUGAUGCACUCACUUGUCUGCGGCGACAUCACCUCAAACAAUCCCCAUCACAAGAACUCCCCUAACCCCCCUCUCUCUCUCUAGACUCUAGCGCACUCCCUUUCCUGUCUCUAGCUUUCUCUCUCUUCACUACCCUCGUAUAGUCUGUUCACCCACGAAAAACUUUUUUUCCCGUGCUGGUUGAAAAUUGGGAGCCCGACCCCGUUCGGCCGGAUGGGCCCUAAGAAAAGUAGGGCCUAAUGUGGUCGUUGGAAAUGUGGAGCCCGACCCAGACCGGUUCAGCUGGAUGGACCCAAAGUACAGACUGUGGCCAGAAGGCCUAACCAGAUCCGGCUAGUGUUGGCCCAAUUCGGCAUAGACAAACUUUUUCUUUUUCUUUUUUUGUAAUUUUUCUUAUUUAUUUUUGGGCAGACCUAGAGGGUCUUGACUGAUUGGACCUAUGGGCCAAGGGUUGAGCCAAG
rnacentral:lncRNA from 1 species